rnacentral:tRNA from 1 species
UUUAAUUUAACAUAUAUAAAAUGUAGUUAAUUGUUAAUUAAUUUAAACGUGUUCACGUAAUUAAAA